AGUGUGCCAUCUCUGCCCAUAAUCCAAAUGGCGUGCCUGAGGCAUAGAAAGCAGCUUUCAGGGAGGCCCUCCUUCCUCUGAGCAACGGUGGCAUCAUCAGAGAAGUGGAGCUCCUCCAAAAGGAUCUGCUGGAAGCAGAGGACGCCCAUGUCUCCUGGUGACUCCCUCUGACCCAACAAGUUGCAGCACCUCUGCUGGGCUUUGCCACUGCCCCAUUUUUGCCAGAGCCUCACCCUGGUGGGGCCCCACCUCUGGGAAGCCCCAGCGCCUGCAAGACUUUUUCCUCUCGUGACAGGGAGCAGCAUGCGGAGGGCCCUUGCACAACCUGGGUCUUCAGGAAGGACAGUUUCUAACCAGAGUUCUGUUCCUUGCCCAGGUGUUGGCCCAGCUCUCCUCAUGGUUCCAAGAAGGCUGCCCCAGGAAGGCUUGUGGACAGAGGGAGAAGCAUCUCUUCCUCUAUGUCUCUUUUUAUCUAAGAAACCAGUUUGACCAGC
rnacentral:lncRNA from 1 species